GACGUAGGGCGCAAGCGUUGUCCGGAUUUAUUGGGCGUAAAGAGCUCGUAGGCGGCUCGUUGCGUCGGCUGUGAAAACCCGCAGCUUAACUGUGGGCCUGCAGCCGAUACGGGCGGGCUGGAGUUCGGUAGGGGAGACUGGAAUUCCUGGUGUAGCGGUGAAAUGCGCAGAUAUCAGGAGGAACACCGGUGGCGAAGGCGGGUCUCUGGGCCGAUACUGACGCUGAGGAGCGAAAGCCAGGGGAGCAAACGGG
rnacentral:rRNA from 1 species